ACAGGCAUGUUCAUGUGGUUAAGAAGCUUGCUUUUUAAGCAAAUGGUUGGGGGUUCAUUCCCACUGUGUG
rnacentral:tRNA from 1 species